UACAGAGGGUGCAAGCGUUGUUCGGAAUUAUUGGGCGUAAAGCGCGUGUAGGCGGCUUGGCAAGUCAGAUGUGAAAGCCCUCGGCUUAACCGAGGAAGUGCGUCUGAAACUGCUGAGCUUGAGUCUCGGAGAGGAUGGCGGAAUUCCGCAAGUAGAGGUGAAAUUCGUAGAUAUGCGGAGGAACACCGGUGGCGAAGGCGGCCAUCUGGACGAGUACUGACGCUGAGA
rnacentral:rRNA from 1 species